CGCAGCUAUCAGCAGUUGGUGCCUUAUUACCUCUGUCUCUCCAGCUACCCAAUCUUCUUCUUCUCCUCCUCCUCCUCUAAAAAGAUCAUCUUCUGUUACAUUACGCCCUUCCGUUUUCGCAAGCCUCUCCUCCUCUCCUUCUUCCGGGAAUUCUUCUAUUCCCAGUCUCAUCAGGAACCAGCCUGUUUUUGCUGCCCCUGCUCCUAUCAUCACCCCCAUUUGGGUACGUGUGUGUAUAAUAUAUAUAUAUA
rnacentral:lncRNA from 1 species